rnacentral:rRNA from 1 species
AAGUGGGAAACGAUGUGGGAAGGCUCAGACAGCCAGGAUGUUGGCUUAGAAGCAGCCAUCAUUUAAAGAAAGCGUAAUAGCUCACUGGUCGAGUCGGCCUGCGCGGAAGAUGUAACGGGGCUAAGUAGUAAACCGAAGCUGCGGCAAUAUACUUUUGUAUAUUGGGUAGGGGAGCGUUCUGUAAGCGGUUGAAGGUGUGUGGUAACGCAUGCUGGACGUAUCAGAAGUGCGAAUGCUGACAUGAGUAACGAUAAAGGGGGUGAAAAACCUCCUCGCCGGAAGACCAAGGGUUCCUGUCCAACGUUAAUCGGGGCAGGGUAAGUCGACCCCUAAGGCGAGGCCGAAAGGCGUAGUCGAUGGGAAACGGGUUAAUAUUCCCGUACUUCUUACAAUUGCGAUGGGGGGACGGAGAAGGCUAGGUGGGCCUGGCGACGGUUGUCCAGGUUCAAGUGCGUAGGCUUGAGAGUUAGGUAAAUCCGGCUCUUUUUAAGGCUGAGACACGACGUCGAGCACCUACGGGUGUGAAGUCAUU